UACGUAGGGGGCAAGCGUUAUCCGGAUUCACUGGGCGUAAAGGGAGCGCAGGCGGCACGGCAAGUCUGGUGUGAAAACCCGGGGCUCGACCCCGGGACUGCAUUGGAAACUGCCGGGCUGGAGUGUCGGAGGGGUAAGCGGAAUUCCUAGUGUAGCGGUGAAAUGCGUAGAUAUUAGGAGGAACACCAGUGGCGAAGGCGGCUUACUGGACGGCAACUGACGCUGAGGCUCGAAAGCGUGGGGAGCAAACAGG
rnacentral:rRNA from 1 species